CCUACGGGAGGCAGCAGUGGGGAAUAUUGGGCAAUGGGCGCAAGCCUGACCCAGCAACGCCGCGUGAAGGAAGAAGGCUUUCGGGUUGUAAACUUCUUUUUUCAGGGACGAAGCAAGUGACGGUACCUGAGGAAUAAGCCACGGCUAACUACGUGCCAACAGCCGCGGUAAUACGGAGGUGGCAAGCGUUAUCCGGAUUUACUGGGUGUAAAGGGCGUGUAGGCGGGAAAGCAAGUCAGAUGUGAAAACCAUGGGCUCAACCUGUGGCCUGCAUUUGAAACUGUUUUUCUUGAGUACUGGAGAGGCAGACGGAAUUCCUAGUGUAGCGGUGAAAUGCGUAGAUAUUAGGAGGAACACCAGUGGCGAAGGCGGUCUGCUGGACAGCAACUGACGCUGAGGCGCGAAAGCGUGGGGAGCAAACAGGAUUAGAUACCCUAGUAGUC
rnacentral:rRNA from 1 species